UAAAAGUUAUCGUUUAUCUGAUGACAAUUAGCGAUAAGAUACGAACGAAACCGUUUCGUAGUUAAAACAUUAUCUAUAGUACGAGUGAUUCGAAGCAAGACGGAAAACAUUGAGUUACAGUUUGGCGGUAAUCGUGUCCGUUACUUUCUUUAGUAGUGCGUAUCAAAAUGAAUAUAUAUUGCUGUUUAAAGAGAAAAAUGAGUAACAUGAACUGGAAGGAUGUGUGGUCGCUGUGCAGAGGAAAAAAUAAGGUAAGGUUUGUAAAUUUAUGACAAUCUAAGACAAUCAACGUA